AGAGUUUGAUCCUGGCUCAGAUUGAACGCUGGCGGCAUGCCUUACACAUGCAAGUCGAACGGCAGCACGGGAGCAAUCCUGGUGGCGAGUGGCGAACGGGUGAGUAAUAUAUCGGAACGUGCCCAGUCGUGGGGGAUAACGUAGAGAAAUUUACGCUAAUACCGCAUACGAUCUAAGGAUGAAAGCGGGGGAUCGCAAGACCUCGCGCGAUUGGAGCGGCUGAUAUCAGAUUAGGUUGUUGGUGAGGUAAAAGCUCACCAAGCCGACGAUCUGUAGCUGGUUUGAGAGAACGACCAGCCACACUGGGACUGAGACACGGCCCAGACUCCUACGGGAGGCAGCAGUGGGGAAUUUUGGACAAUGGGCGAAAGCCUGAUCCAGCAAUGCCGGGUGCAGGAAGAAGGCCUUCGGGUUGUAAACUGCUUUUGUACGGAACGAAACGGUCUGCCCUAAUACGGUGGGCUAAUGACGGUACCGUAAGAAUAAGCACCGGCUAACUACGUGCCAACAGCCGCG
rnacentral:rRNA from 1 species